UAGCCUAGUGGUGAAGGCUAUGGGUCGCCAAUCCGGAGACGGCGGGUUCGAUUCCCGU
rnacentral:tRNA from 1 species